UACGUAGGGGGCAAGCGUUGUUCGGAAUUACUGGGCGUAAAGGGCGCGUAGGCGGUACGACAAGUCUGGAGUGAAAGCCCGGGGCUCAACCCCGGAAUGUCUUCGGAAACUGUCGAACUAGAGUGCAGAAGAGGCAACUGGAAUUCCCAGUGUAGCGGUGAAAUGCGUAGAUAAUUGGGAAGAACACCUGAGGCGAAGGCGGGUUGCUGGGCUGACACUGACGCUGAGGCGCGAAAGCCAGGGGAGCGAACGGG
rnacentral:rRNA from 1 species